GGCUUUUCGUCUCUGUUCAGCGGGGAAGCAGCGAGGUUCCCUCCAGAUAGCGGUGAAGGGCGGCUUCCUAACUUUGUUUCCCAAGUCCCCUAACUUCGGAAUGCUUCUGCAUUGGUUCUUGCUCAGUGUCAUACCAGCGACUCCAAGAGUCAUGUCACCCACUUAGCAGGAGUACUUCUACUGAAAUGCCUUCGAAUUUCUCUUACUGGAUAUAUACCUACCAGCCGCUAGCAUGAAGAUGCCAGGACCGCUGCAAGUUAGCACUGGACAAAGUAGCAUCAACUUCUUCAUUUAGAGUUUCUUCAGUUAAAUUGCUGGGAUUUUCGACAAGGCUUUCCUUAUGUGGAUUAUUGGAGUGUGAUGCCCGAGAAUUCUCUACUUGUAGAAGCACGCCCACGGGACUGCAGAAGCCUUCACACCCACCCAGCACGCUCAGAUCAUCCAGUAACCAACCCAGGAAGUUCUUGUAAGCAUGCAUUUCUUAGUCAACACUGAAUGCCUUUAGACCGAGGUCAACCUUUUCAGCUGGUACCGUGGUUUACACUGCUGAAAGUACUGUCUUCAACCUUACCAAUGUCAGUGGCGGCGACGGUGGCGUCACCAUCACCAUCAGAGAAAAAGAAAUAUGCCUUUAUGUCAUGGUGGAACCAUCUAGGGAGGCCUGCCACUGUUUGCUGAGCUCCGGGUGAGGAUGAAGACACUUUGACAUGGCCAGCUUCAGACUCGGGAUCUGUCGGUGUUAGCAGCCGAAGGAGAAUGAGGAGGAAGAGGAGGAGAAAGAGGAGGAGGAAGUAAGACAGAGGGGGACAAGAGGACCAAGAGGGCACAUGGCUGAGGAGGAGGAGAACAACAACAACAACAACAACAACAACAACAACAAGAAGCUUGGUGUUUUCAGGAUGUGUUCCUGAGUCUCGUGAGUAGCACAUGGCAGUUGUUGUCACCUUGGGCUGAGCCGUGAAGAUUCUCACCCUCCCUUGUUGGGGAUGAACUCCGGGAUUCUAAGGAGAGGUCAGCAGGUGUUUCACAGACUGUUCCUGUUGGAGGAUUUGUCUGAUACUCUUCUCCUGAUUAGUCUGGGCUCUACAUUUCCCCAAGGGUGAAACUUGGAAGCCCUCUCCAGGAUGCAGCAGGUAGCUGAGGAGAAAACGAAGACUGACCAGCCCAGAGCUCAGAGCUUCCUCCCAUGCUCAGGAUUUACCACCAAUGCCAUUACAUCGGCCUCUUCUUGUAUGCCUCUGGAAACCACAUGUGUCCUCUGUUUGUAAUGGUUUGGCUAUGGUUGCUGGCCCCUCUUGGACAUUGUUUUCAGAACUUAAAGAAACAUUGCUUUAAAGAUUUAUUAGAACAUAUUUAAAAUAAAACCAUCUUC
rnacentral:lncRNA from 1 species